GACGAACGCUGGCGGCGGGCUUAACACAUGCAAGUCGAACGGAAAGGCCCUGCUUUUGUGGGGUGCUCGAGUGGCGAACGGGUGAGUAACACGUGAGUAACCUUCCCUUGACUUUGGGAUAACUUCAGGAAACUGGGGCUAAUACCGGAUAGGAGCUCCUGCUGCAGGGGGGGGGUUGGAAAGUUUAGGCGGUUGGGGAUGGACGCGCGGCUUAUCAGCUGGUGGGGGGGGUAGUUGCUUACCAAGGGUUCGACGGGUAGCCGGCAUGAGAGGGUGACCGGCCACAAUGGGACUGAGAUACGGCCCAGACUCCUACGGGAGGCAGCAGUGGGGAAUAUUGCCCAAUGGGCGGAAGCCUGAUGCAGCAACGCCGCGUGCGGGAUGACGGCCUUCUGGUUGUAAACCGCUUUCGCCUGUGACGAAGCGUGAGUGACGGUAAUGGGUAAAGAAGCACCGGCUAACUACGUG
rnacentral:rRNA from 1 species